UACGGGGGGGGCAAGCGUUGUUCGGAAUUACUGGGCGUAAAGGGCUCGUAGGCGGCCAACUAAGUCAGACGUGAAAUCCCUCGGCUUAACCGGGGAACUGCGUCUGAUACUGGAUGGCUUGAGUUUGGGAGAGGGAUGCGGAAUUCCAGGUGUAGCGGUGAAAUUCGUAGAUAUUCGGAAGAACACCAGUGGCGAAGGCGACUCACUGGCCCGUACUGACGCUGAGGCG
rnacentral:rRNA from 1 species